rnacentral:misc_RNA from 1 species
UGGUUCUGGCAUCGAUGAAGAACGCAGCGAAAUGCGAUAAGUAAUGUGAAUUGCAGAAUUCCGUGAAUCAUCGAAUCUUUGAACGCACAUUGCGCCCGCCAGUACUCUGGCGGGCAUGCCUGUCCGAGCGUCAUUUCAACCCUCGAGCCCCCGGGCUUGGUGUUGGGGAUCGGCCCGCCCCCGCGGCGCGCCGUCCCCCAAAUUCAGUGGCGGCCUCGCUGCAGCCUCCCCUGCGUAGUAGCUAACACCUCGCAGCGGGAACUCAGCGCGGCCACGCCGUUAAACCCCCCACUUCUGAACGGUUGACCUCGGAUCAGGUAGGACUACCCGCUGA